rnacentral:rRNA from 1 species
UACGUAGGGACCAAGCGUUGUUCGGAUUUACUGGGCGUAAAGGGCGCGUGAGGCGGCGUGUUAAGUCACUUGUGAAAUCUCUAAGCUUAACUUAGAACGGUCAAGUGAUACUGAUGUGCUAGAGUGCAGAAGGGGCAACCGGAAUUCUUGGUGUAGCGGGUGAAAUGCGUAGAUAUCAAGAGGAACACCUGCGGCGAAGGCGGGUUGCUGGGCCGACACGUGACGCUGAGGCGCGAAAGCCAGGGGAGCGAACGGG